rnacentral:rRNA from 1 species
CGCAUCUGUGCAUGCAGCAUAUCAAUAAGCGGAGGAAAAGAAAACUAACAAGGAUUCCCCUAGUAACGGCGAGUGAAGCGGGAAGAGCUCAAAUUUGAAAUCUUAAAGGGUUUUCCCUUUACGAAUUGUAGUUUAAAGAAGUGUUUUUCUGUUGAGGUUUUUGGUAAAAGUUCUUUGGAAUAGGACAUCAUAGAGGGUGAGAAUCCCGUAUUUGACCUUUACUUUCAACUUUGUGAUACACUUUCAAAGAGUCGGAUUGUUUGGGAAUGCAGUCCAAAAUGGGUGGUAAAUUUCAUCUAAAGCUAAAUAUUGGCGAGAGACCGAUAGCGAACAAGUACCGUGAGGGAAAGAUGAAAAGAACUUUGAAAAGAGAGUUAAACAGUACGUGAAAUUGUCAAAAGGGAAGCGUUUUGACACCAGGUGUUGUUUUUUCUGAAAAUCAAUUAAAGAACUGUUUUAUGCUAAGUUGUUUAGACUUUAUCAGCUAACUGUUUUAGUUUUUGAGCUUUUUCUUUAAUGCACUUUUCAGUUAACAAGUCAACAUCAAUUUCUUUUGCUGUAAAAAAAGCUUGAGGAAGGUGGCUUGAGAUUCGUCUUAAGUGCUUUAUAGCCUCUUGCCUAUGCAGUCGGAGAGAUUGAGGUCUGCAGCGUAGAUCCUUCGGGGCUAAAUGCAUUUGUGCUAAGUUAUAGCAUUUUAUAGACAACUUGUUGACUAUGAUUUGUCUUGUAGCCUACUCGCUUAUGUUAUUUUACCUACGCUUAGGAUGUUGAGUCAUCACACAUCUCU